rnacentral:rRNA from 1 species
CCCUUAGAUGUUCUGGGCCGCACGCGCGUUACAAUGAAUCGUUCAACAGGUUUCUUCCUGAGUCGAAAGGCUUGGGUAGUCCUUUAAAUACGGUUCGUGCUAGGGAUAGAUUUUUGCAAUUAUUAAUCUUGAACGAGGAAUAUUUAGUAAACGCAGGUCAUCAGCCUGCAUUGAUUACGUCCCUGCCCUUUGUACACACCGCCCGUCGCACCAACCGAUUGGAUGUUUUGUUGAAAUAUGUGAAUGCUUGUUGGAUGAAUUUAUUUUUGCUUGAUAGACAGAAACGUAUUAAAACUGAAUAUCUAGAGGAUGGUGAAGUCGUAACA